rnacentral:rRNA from 1 species
GAUUGAACGCUGGCGGCAGGCUUAACACAUGCAAGUCGAGCGGAGAUGAGGUGCUUGCACCUUAUCUUAGCGGCGGACGGGUGAGUAAUGCUUAGGAAUCUGCCUAUUAGUGGGGGACAACAUUCCGAAAGGAAUGCUAAUACCGCAUACGCCCUACGGGGGAAAGCAGGGGAUCUUCGGACCUUGCGCUAAUAGAUGAGCCUAAGUCGGAUUAGCUAGUUGGUGGGGUAAAGGCCUACCAAGGCGACGAUCUGUAGCGGGUCUGAGAGGAUGAUCCGCCACGCUGGGACUGAGACACGGCCCAGACUCCUACGGGAGGCAGCAGUGGGGAAUAUUGGACAAUGGGCGGAAGCCUGAUCCAGCCAUGCCGCGUGUGUGAAGAAGGCCUUUUGGUUGUAAAGCACUUUAAGCGAGGAGGAGGCUACCUGGAUUAAUACUCUAGGAUAGUGGACGUUACUCGCAGAAUAAGCACCGGCUAACUCUGUGCCAGCAGCCGCGGUAAUACAGAGGGUGCGAGCGUUAAUCGGAUUUACUGGGCGUAAAGCGUGCGUAGGCGGCUGAUUAAGUCGGAUGUGAAAUCCCUGAGCUUAACUUAGGAAUUGCAUUCGAUACUGGUCAGCUAGAGUAUGGGAGAGGAUGGUAGAAUUCCAGGUGUAGCGGUGAAAUGCGUAGAGAUCUGGAGGAAUACCGAUGGCGAAGGCAGCCAUCUGGCCUAAUACUGACGCUGAGGUACGAAAGCAUGGGGAGCAAACAGGAUUAGAUACCCUGGUAGUCCAUGCCGUAAACGAUGUCUACUAGCCGUUGGGGCCUUUGAGGCUUUAGUGGCGCAGCUAACG